rnacentral:rRNA from 1 species
GUGCCAGCAGCCGCGGUAACACCGGCAGCCCAAGUGGUGGCCGCUUUUAUUGGGCCUAAAGCGUCCGUAGCCGGCCAGGUAAGUCCCUGUGUAAAUCUUCAGGCUUAACUUGAAGAAUUGCGGGGAUACUGCUUGGCUUGGGGCCGGAAGACGUGGAGGGUACUCCGGGGGUAGCGGUGAAAUGCUGUAAUCCUCGGGGGACCACCAGUGGCGAAGGCUCUCCACGAGGACGGGCCCGACGGUGAGGGACGAAAGCCAGGGGCGCGAACGGGAUUAGAUACCCCGGUAGUCCUGGCCGUAAACGCUGCAGGCUUGGUGUUGCACGCUCUACGGGGGCGUGCAGUGCCGAAGCGAAGGCGAUAAGCCUGCCGCCUGGGAAGUACGCUCGCAAGAGUGAAACUCAAAGGAAUAGGCGG